rnacentral:rRNA from 1 species
AUUGAACGCUGGCGGCAGGCCUAACACAUGCGAGUCGAGCGGUAACAGAUCUAGCUUGCUAGAUGCUGACGAGCGGCGGACGGGUGAGUAACGCGUAGGAAUCUACCCAGUAGAGGGGGAUAGCCCGGGGAAACUCGGAUUAAUACCGCAUAAUCUCUAAGGAGUAAAGGGGGCUUCGGCUCUCGCUAUUGGAUGAGCCUGCGUGGGAUUAGCUAGUUGGUGAGGUAAAGGCUCACCAAGGCGACGAUCUCUAACUGGUCUGAGAGGAUGAUCAGUCACACUGGAACUGAGACACGGUCCAGACUCCUACGGGAGGCAGCAGUGGGGAAUAUUGCACAAUGGGCGCAAGCCUGAUGCAGCCAUGCCGCGUGUGUGAAGAAGGCCUCGGUUGUAAG